UGUCCAUUGUUGGACCAGUUAUUGGAGUCAUUCUCAUUAUUCUCCUGCUCUUGCUGUGGCGCUACAGAAAGUCCAAAGAUUUAAACUGUAUCAGACUGAUUCAAUCAGAGAGCAGCAAUCAAACCUCAGCCACCAAUCAUGGAGGGACCCAGACUGAUAGUCCCGUUUACAGCUCACUGCUU